rnacentral:rRNA from 1 species
UACGGGGGGGGGCAAGCGUUGUUCGGAAUUACUGGGCGUAAGGGCGUGUAGGUGGCCAACUAAGUCCGACGUGAAAUCCCCAGGCUUAACCUGGGAACUGCGUCGGAUGCUGGAUGGCUUGAAUUCGGGAGAGGGAUGCAGAAUUCCAGGUGUAGCGGUGAAAUGCGUAGAUAUCUGGAGGAACACCGGUGGCGAAGGCGGCAUCCUGGACCGACACUGACGCUGAGGAGCGAAAGCCAGGGGGAGCAAACGGG